UACGUAGGGUGCAAGCGUUGUCCGGAAUUAUUGGGCGUAAAGAGCUUGUAGGCGGUUUGUCGCGUCUGCUGUGAAAUUUCGGGGCUCAACCCCGAACUUGCAGUGGGUACGGGCAGACUAGAGUGUGGUAGGGGAGACUGGAAUUCCUGGUGUAGCGGUGAAAUGCGCAGAUAUCAGGAGGAACACCGAUGGCGAAGGCGGGAUCCUGGGCCAGUACUGACGCUGAGGAGCGAAAGCGUGGGGAGCAAACAGG
rnacentral:rRNA from 1 species